rnacentral:rRNA from 1 species
UACGAGAGGUCCAAGCGUUAGUCGGAAUCACUGGGCUUAAAGGGUGCGUAGGCGGGCCUGUAAGUGUUUUGUGAAAUCCCAUGGCUCAACCAUGGAAUCGCAGGGCAUACUGCGGGCCUCGAGGAAGCUAGAGGCCGGUGGAACGAUAGGUGGAGCGGUGGAAUGCGUAGAUAUCUAUCGGAACGCCAAAGGUGAAGACAGCCGGCUGGGGCUUUCCUGACGCUGAGGCACGAAAGCGUGGGGAUCAAACAGG